CACGGGGGGAGCAAGCGUUGUUCGGAAUCACUGGGCGUAAAGGGCGUGUAGGCGGUUGUGUAAGUGGGAUGUGAUAUGCCUCGGCUUACCCGGGGACCUGCAUCCCAUACUGCAUGACUUGAGUACGGGAGAGGAUGAGGGAAUUCCUGGUGUAGCGGUGAAAUGCGUAGAUAUCAGGAGGAACACCGGUGGCGAAGGCGCUCAUCUGGCCCGAUACUGACGCUGAGGCGCGAAAGCUAGGGUAGCGAACGGG
rnacentral:rRNA from 1 species